rnacentral:lncRNA from 1 species
GCAUGGUGGUUUCUUUCUAGUUGUGUUGCCGCCUCUCGUCUCUUAGUCCUAGGUGUUGCCGGUUCUCUUUUGACCGUGCAGUUAAUGUUAUGUUGGUUCUCCUUAAUUAGCCAUGCUCUGUAUUGGAUCCGGUUUUCCUUAUAAACAGGACCAACUCGCUUCUUCUAUCAAAUUCCGGCAGGUCUUCUAGGUCGUUCGUUAAAAAAAAAAAUCAAAGUCUUGUUCAUAACUGUAGCAGGUUACC